rnacentral:lncRNA from 1 species
AGCUGGAAUCCUCUCAUGUCAAACACAUCACUGUACCCAGGUUUGCAAAGUGGCUCAGCAGGUGCUGGGGCAGCAAUCGUAGCUGCCUGUCACCCCAUUCCCUUUUCCAUGGGAACCCCUGUUCUGAACCAAGAAAACUGCCAUCCUCGAGUACUGGGAGAGAGGAGACAGAAGAGUGGGCAGAGAGGGCCAGGCCUUUUCUCCACCCUCCCCUCUAAAAUUCUGCAGUGAUCUCUCAGUUAGCCCUAGUGAUCUAUUUCACUGAAUGAUUUAUUUCCUCACAACAACCUGUAUGCCUUUGUGUUCUCCACCAGGAACCAAUUUGCUGAGAGGAUGAGACCGAGUGUCACAGGCUGAUCAAACAGGUCAACUUUGACUCGAGAGAAAAUAAGUUCUAUCGGCACUGCCUCCCCCAGCAGACUGUACACAAUCACAUGCUGCAGAACGAUGUUUUGGACAAUGAUGAACCGGAUACACGACAGUGGUCUCCUAAGAUGAUCAUGGAGCUGAAAACUUCAUCGAGAGCUGUCAUAACACCACAGUGCAAUUACUCUAUUUUUAAAAUAAAUGUACUGCAGCCUCAGUGUGCCAUGUUGAUAAAGUCUGCAGUCAUGUACAGCAAUGUCCUAGGCCUUCACAUUCACUCAGCGCUCACUCACUGACUCACCCAGAGCAGCUUCCAGUCCUGCAAGCUCCGUUCAUGACAUAGGAAGGUGACAGUACCGGGAACCUCAUCGAAAACAGGUGUUAAGUACAUGCUUGACACCAAGAAUAACAAAAGCAAAGAUGCAAGAGCUCUUUCCUAUGGGUUUUUCCUGAUCAGACUCUGCUAUUUGAAAGGGAUCUGGAAAGAAGUGAGCCAAGCUCACCUUUGUGAAGACUCGCCACCACUGCCAGUGCCGU